UGGCGCAGCGGGAGCCCCGCCAACGUCCGAGCAGGGUGGGCGCUUGGAGAUGCUGGGGAGCGGCCCCCUUUGCCAGCCAACGGGAAGACUGAGGACAGGGCAGUCCAGGGACCAGCUUGAGAGAUCUCGGGUGGAAUUUUGGAUUUUUCUCUCAGCCUCUGCUGAGGGCUGGGACUCACAGAAUAAAGGGAAGAUGGCUUGUCCCCGUCCCACGGCGCCUCGACACCGUCGCUUAGAGGAUUCUCCAGCCUGUCUGUCUUUUUGGGGGGGGGGGGUUAACCGGGGAUCAAACUCAGGACCCCGAGCUUGUGAGGCAGGUGGGCGGCACCACUGAGCUAAAUCCUCCUGUGUCUCUUUUAGGACUGCACUUCCCAGCUAUGUAUGAGAGAUAACCAUUUUCCCUUUUGGGGUCCCAGUUCCUGGACAGUUCCAAGGGGUUGGCUCUCAAGAGGCCAUUCGUAGCCAGUAGUUAGGGAAAGCCCUUCCACCCCAUCAUCGGAACUCUCUCAAUAUGAUGGAGAGUGGCACACGGUUUAAAGAUGAUGGAAGCUAGGCUCCAACCCUCUUGCUGUCGCCUCCUCCUCCAGCCCUCCAACUCCCGGUGGGCUUCAGGUAGCUCUCAAACCUCUCCCACGCCUUCACCCCAUAACGGGCAAGCAGCCCCUUCCUGAGUGGAGGCCCGCGAGUGGGGGUGGCUCCUGAGGGUAGCCGCGUCUCCCAGACGUGGGGCGGGCAGACCCUACCCUUUUGCUUUGCGGGUGUCCCGUUGUCCCCAAAGGCAGGAUUCGGUGCUAGCCGGGAUUUCCCGGGGCACAGUUCCACUGGCCUGGGUUCGCUCUGUGAUCAUUCUUGGGCCGGUUCCUUACCCCUCGCUGGGCUUCCGGACGGAUCUCUGGGGUCUCCGAGGCUGCUUCUACCUUUAGGGUUCCGGGCCUUGAAGACGGCUCCGGAGACUCCAGACAGCCAGAGCUUUGGAGGGAGGCUGUGGGUGCAGGGCCGAGUGGAGGGUGCUUUGGGAGCUCGGGGUAUCCCAAGCGGAGGGUUCUGGCCUGAAAUGGGUGGCAUCGCCUUCUGAAGGUUUAGCCCCGUUUUUUUCAGAGAGCUAGGGCAGGCUCAGUCCCACCAGGUUGGGCUGCUGCCAUCGGAAGAAAGAGGUGAAGAGCAAAGAUCCUCGUUCCGCGGAGCAGACCUAGCGUUUGCUGUUUGCUUGACAAUCUUCCCCGGCGGAGGUGCUGGAAUGAACGAGUGGAGAUGGACUUUACAUCGCGGCACAAAACCCCUGACUGUCUUAUGAAGUGGUGCAACCUCGGAGCUUCUCAGAAGGCAACCGAACUUCAACGUGCUUUCUCACGGCAGAUUCACUUACACAUUGCAAGC